AAGCAUCCUUAAUAAACCCCCCAGUUGUCAUAUUGUGGUUCCUGGGACAAGAUAGGAUGCAAGAUCAAUCUUAGAACUAUCCAAAGCUAAGAGCCCUGUCAGUAGCUCUUGGCUAUUUCACCUCUAAGACAGAA